ACUAACAGGUAAAUGCAGCUCCAGUGCCUAUGAACUUCUGUCAGUCAUGGCAAAACACGGAUCUGCUAAAAGAGUCUGGGAAAGGAGAAUCUGAAGAUGCGUGAAUGAGUAAACAAAAUAAGGGGCAAGGCAGUUUCCCUCCUGUGAACAUCUUGAGCAAUCAGACAGCUCUCCAAGAUGGCGUAGAUGAAUCUCCCCAUCACUACUCCAUGCUGAAUUGGUCAUGGCUUGAACAUGUGUAGGUUAUGGGAAAACUUUGAGUCUGGCUCUGCUGAAAUCAAACUUUUCCUCCUCCCUGAUUUUUACCGUAGUCACUCUUCUGGAAAUUACUUGCACGUGGUUGAUAGAGUAUCAGUUUGGGGCUAAGAAAAUGGCAGCCAGGACCCAUUUGGUCAUAUGAUGAGCAGUAACAGGAAAAAACAGGGAAGAGAUAAAACGUAAAACUGGGUGGGCCUGUGCCAAGGGGAGGAUGUCUAGUGCCCUUUUGCUUUCUCAACAAAAUUACGAAAUUAUGCGCUUUGACUCGCGUGGCUAAGCAGAUGUUCUCUUUGCUGCGAAUCUGUUAGCUCCUUGCUUACUCUGCCGAGUGGGUGGCGCAAAAAAAGAUGAGCUGCAAAGAAGGAGCCGGCAGUGACAGGAAAAGUCACGGGGCGUGAGAGAUUAGGAGCUGAGGGACAGCGACCCUGAAUUGAGACGAAAGGGGCUUCCGAAGGAGCAAGCCUGCAGCAUGUUUAGUUAACGUCUUUCCAACAAAGGAGAAAUUUUGUGCAGCCACAGAUCAUUUGCAAUUCAAAGAGCAGGAGGCAAACCGAGUUGAGAACAUACUUUGUGUGGAAAGGCAUUCAUAGUAUCCAUGCCCCAAAUACCUCCCACCCAAGGAAAGUCGUCCGGUACAUUUGAGAGCUUUUCGCUGACUUGGGGCCCUCAGUGCCGCCAUUUUCCCUCUUUCUCCCUCUCUCCCUUUCCUCUUCCCCCUUCCAUACUGGUUGCCUGUCUGUCACUUCAAUUCAGUCCAGCCAUCUGGAACCUUCCCUACUAGAUAAUAUCUCCACCUCAAAUUAAAAAAUGGCCCUUUCCUACUUGAUCAGAGCCCUGGUAUCUGGAUGGUUGAGGAAGAUUGCUGAAUGGCAGUAUGAGGUGGAGAUUUCCUGGGGAUUUCAAUCACCUUGCUCCCCCUCUACCCUUCAUGAUAAAGGCUAAUCAGGAGGGGAAUGAAAACAACACGCAAUCUUACGAGAAAUGAGGAAUGGGCCAGAUGCAACCCACAGAGGCUGGCUGAGAUUUCAAUUUUCUUACUGUAAUGAAAACUGCAUUUCCAUGAACCGUUGCGGUAGAAAUUACUUACCGGCGGUCACCUGUGAUAGCAUCACCCCGCGGCUCACGUGGUGGGCACGGAUGCCGCCAGGGACGGUUGCUGAAGCUCCUUCUCGUGAUCACCUUCCACGCGGUCCUCAGGAUGCCGCAGACGGGCAGAGGCGGCGCUUUCGUGUGGGAAACGAGGCCCGAUCCGCAAAAUGAUGGUGAUUUAAAACGGUCGUCCCGUCUCCUACCCUUUCCCUGUGACCUUUCCUUCACGGUUGGAAUCUGUGAUUUUCUGCUGGGGUCCUGCAGGAUGCCAGAUGGAGGUCAACCAUAAUAAGUGAUGGCAUUACGUUCAGGUACCUGCUACGUGCCAGGCAGUGAACUGGUGCGUCUUUUAUGUUCUCCCUCAUCAUUUCCAUUAUCCCGUGCACCAAAGAUUGUCCUCCAGUGCUCUCCUUUCCUUUCUUCCUUAAUAAUAUAAUUACACUUUUUUUUUUUCUUUAAACGAGGCACAUGAAUUCCUACAAGAAGACCACAUAGCCCAGCCUCCCCUGUGGCUACGUGUGCCCAUGAGGUCAUUGUGUUGGAAGCAGAAGUGUUCUGUGCAGUUCUGAGGAAGUGUCCUAAACAGGAAGAAACAUGCCCCUUUUUUUCUCUUCUUUUCUAUGCCAGUUGGAACGUGGAUGUGAUGGCUGGAUGUGAACAGCCUUCUUAGACCAUGAGGUGGAAACCACUUGUUGAGCAUGGUAAAGCAAUGAGAAGGAGCUAGAGUCGCUGAUGAUUGUGGAGGAGAAUUUUGAGGGUUUUGGUCACCUGAUCUGAUCCUGUCCUACCAAAAGCACCCAGUAAGAAAGUCGUAGAAUGAGGUGUUGGGGAAUAUGGGCUCUGGGGUCAGAUACACCCGGAUUAAAACCUUACCUCUCCUACGCUUAUCAGCUCCAUGAUCUUGGGCAAAUUACUUAACUGUUCUAUGUCUGAUUCUUCAUUUGCAAAAUCAGUAUAAAUAAAAAGUAAGCAAAAGGGAUUUGGGGAAAAAUCUUUAAAAAUUUUCAGCAUAGUGCCUGGCACAUGGUCAGUGCAUGACAAAGGAUAGAUAGUAUUAUUCUAAUAUUAUAGAUGAGGAAACAAACUUCAGCAAAGUUAGGAAACUUCUCCAAGGCCAUGAACACAGAUAAAUAACAGAGUACUAGAUCCGGAAGCUCCCGAGUUUUCCAUGACAUUGACCACCAUGGAUGCCCAGAUGUCACCAUGAAAAACAAGGGAAAAAAAUUGAACUCUUUUUUAUACUUUGUAGUGAGCACAUGUACAUGUGCGCGCGCGCACACACACACACACACACACACACACUACACACUUUAGGUAGUUCAGUGCAUUCUUCGAAUGUAAAAUUAGCAGUUUUACAAAACAAUCUACCAAAAUGGAAACGUUUGUUUGAACUAACAUGUACUAAUAUCACUAGGUACAAAGUUUCCAGCAAGCUAUGCUGCUGUCUGCUGACCCCUCAGGGUCACCUGCUGGUGAUCAGUCCCCUGUGACAUGGUCACAUUCUGCAUUUCCUUGUGUCCACACCGAGCUCAAGCUCAUUUUUCAAUUUGCAGAUGAGUUGAGCUCAGAAUAUCAGUCCUUAGUAUGUCAAGUCUGUGCAGUGGUGUCCUUCCGACCCAGACUUUCUGUCAGACCAGGGCUAAGGUUUGGAUGGGAUUGUUUUAUGGCAACUGUGAGCUUCUAACAAUGAGGGUGGCUCAGUGGCCCAUAAGUCAAAGUGGAUGAUUUGAGAAGGCUGUGAACUCUAUCAAGGCAGGGACUGUGUCUGUUUUGUUCACCGAUGUAUCUCUACUCAGAAGGACUUAAUCACUAUGUACUGAAUCGUGUUUGGAUGAAUGAGGGCUCUCAGGAUCACCAUGCAAUAAACCAUCAUGGCUGAAUCAAACCACCGAACUGAUGCUCACUGGACUUCCCCAUGGGGCCCAAGUAUGGGGGUCGCUUGUCCAGCACCCAACCCUACCAUUCCAAUUGUACUCCUUCUGUCUUUUAGGGAGCUUCCCACUAUGGGCUGCUUUGGGGAGGGCAGAUGGUGGAGGGAAGUGCCUGCUCUUAUAAAUCAAAGUGGUCAGAUCCUCUCUCUGGGAGCUUCGAAUUCAAACAACUGUUGCAAGGAUGUAAGAUGAUUGGAGGCUGUUCACUGCAGGACCUGGAUGGAGUGUAGGCCAUAUGCUUCUGCUCUGAGUUUUGCUGUGUCUCCUUCAACCUUGCCUUUACCAGCUCCCUUAGUCCUGCCCACGUUCCCACCCUCGACUUCAAACCUCCCACAGAUUCUGAUGUGCCUUAAAGUCAUUGAAUAAUCCCCAGCCCCUUUGUUUCUUAAAAUAGCUUUCAAGCAAAAUUGCAAGAGGGAUUUUGCUGCUAAUCUUGGUCUUCACUGAUAGACCUAAAGCUUAUCUGGUAAAUUUCCAAAUAGCAACUUGGGAGAAGUUGUGCAGUCAAGGCCAAUAUUUUUCAAUUUGAAAUAUGGAGACUGAAGUAAUUGGAGAAGGUGACAGUGACUAUUUUUGAGAUGAUUAUUAGGAGCAACUCUUUGGCACUGAAAAAGUUGGAGAGAAGUGAGUUGAAAACUGGCUCCAUGGCUAAAUAUGGUGCCAAACACCUAAUUUUACAAUUGUCGGUGAAUUUUUUCUCAUCAACAAAGAAUGUACUUUGGCACGUUUCUCUCCCACCCUCACAGGAUGGUCAUCGCUGUGCUCUUCACAUGUUGUGAGAAUUCUGGGUCAUUUUCUCAAGUUUGGAAUUGUGGAUGUGGCCGUGGCUGUUUCCAGACAGAAAACAGUGGAAUCCUGGAAAGAGUCAAACAAUCAACUGUGAUUUUGUACUUCGGUCCAGAUGAAUUAAGCAAGCAGAUCCUUUGGGUUUUACACAUCUAUGAAAUAUCAGGCCCUCAUGUUCUCCUUUUGGGGUGUUCUUCCUCAAAAAGAAUGCACUUUCACUAUUUAAAUCAUAUCAGUAAAUAGUCAUAUUGUGUCUUAUGGUUUUUUGGUCCUUCUGUCUUAAAAAGAAUGAUUUCAAGAAUGAAGUUUCACAUGCCGAUUUGAAUAGUUUAAUUUUUGUUGGAAUAAUUAGUUCCCUUCCUUCUCAUCUUUUUCUGAACCCACUGGAAAAAAAAAAAAAGACAAAGGAGAGAGGCAGAGAGACACCAAAAUAACAUCUUUCCUAUUGAUAAAGCUGACAUUGGAGAAAGUGGAAUAUAUCUGUGGCCAAAUGGACUUCCUAAUCGUGAGUGCACGUGCUGGCUGCACCAGCCGAUCUGGUCAGAGGCAGAAGCAGACCACUGCUGGCCUCCACACACGGGAAGCGUGGAGAGCUUUACUGCUGUGCUUGCCAUGGGUUUGACAGCCAUCUAGAGCAUGUUUUCUCUGCUAUUUCCUACAAGGAAGAAGAGACAGGAAGGGGCUGGUCUGUGCAUGCUUGGUUUCUUCCCACAGAUUCCUCAAUUAGGUCCUGGUUACUGUGCCCAAUAAGUGAAAGCUUUCCUGGGUCAUCCGCUGAAAUGCUGGGAAGUCCAAAGAGGUGAGGAGCAUAGCUUUGCCAGUGAGACUGUCCCGGAGUUCAGACCCCCACCACUGAGAAGCACCUUGCACUCCCAGAAGCCUUCCCAGGCUCAGUUUUCUCAUCUGUAAAACAAAAAAACACCCACCCCUACAGGACUUCAGUGAGGAUUAAAAUAUGAUAUAAAGGGCUUGGCCUCUAGUAACACUUUCUAAAUAAUUCAUAUUUUAUAAAAAUGCUCUCGGCUUUAAUUUGGCUUCAGGCUUUUGAUCAGACAAUAAUAUUUAUUAUACACUUAGUAGGUAUGAAAGGGAGCAGAAAGAGGUCUGAAGUCUAGGGUGACAGGUAAGACACACACAGAAUAGAAAACUGUGGGAUCAGGGACAAGUGGCUUAUUUCUACCCGACAUCUGGAAGAGGUAGAGAAUCUGAAUAGGGUGUACAUUUGAGGACAAACAGCAAAGUGACUUCCCUUUUCCUAGCUAUGAAUUUGGGAUAUUCUUCUCUUUUCCUGUUUGGGCUUUUGUGUUCCUCAGAGAGGAGACCUCUAAUUCUGAGAAGUGGGCAAGAGGAGGUCAAACUGCUGCUCACAAAACAAUGACUCAAAACCCUGAGUCUUUUCCGGAUUUACCUACUUUUAAAAACCAAAAAUCCUUUGCCCCCCCUCAGGCCUGCUGGAGGAACAGGGGCUCCUGUGGCUUUCUGGCAAAGGCAGUCAGGGUGUGAGGAAACCAGAAGGAACCAAAACACAAUGAGAAACCCCGUUCAGCCGACCACGGAAAAGUCCUCUUUGUUGUUUGAAAUUUUUAUCUUGUUUGUGGCAAAUCUAAUGAUUCAGUAACGACCACAGCUGUGUUGGGGCCCACGAAUUUCCUCAGAGGCUUCCCCCCACCCCCACCCCCCACUUGAGAGCAGGAACAAGGCCAGCUGGGUAGGCCACCCUCCUCCAGCUCUCUUCCCAGUCUCUGCAAUGUGUUUGGGACAAGCAGCGCUUGGGGCCGCCCGUCCGGAGAUUUUAUCCGACUUCUCCUGAAUCUAAUUCCGUGGGGGAGGAAGCGAAGUAAAACUGGCUGUUUUAGGUUCAUGGACGAUGCAUUUCUGGGCACGAGGUUCAGCUCUCUGUAUCCUGCUAUUGAAGUAAGUUUGAGAGAGUCAAAUCGUUUCUCACUGUGGUCCUCACUGUGGUAAUGACAGAGAGUCACAGAGAAGAUUCCGGUUUCCCAGACCCCGCCGAGGGGGGGGGGCAGCUGGCACCUGGCAGCAACCACCUGCUUGCCUCUGAUUUCCCUGGGUCAGCAUCUCCCUACUGUGUGCGCUGGGCCAAGGAGCAGCAACAAGAAGGAAAGACAAGGCAAGGUGGCCGCCGAGGGGCUCGGGGUUCUGCAUGAUCUCAGCGUGCAGCUGCAGCUGGCGUGGGUGCGGCUCCCGUGGGGAGGCCCUGGGGGCUCGGUCUCACUGGCAUGCUAAUGUCCCUCCCUGCCUCACAUGCCUCAUCUGGGAAAUGAAGGCAUGGGGGUGUGUAUGUGCGGGGGUGGGGAGGGUGGGGAGCUGUGCAUUCAUUCAUUCAUUCAUUCAUCCAUGGAUCUGUUUGUUUAUUCAUCCCCUUAUUUUUUUUUUUUUCCCCCACACAUUGAUUCUGUGCUAGGUGCUGGGGAUGCAGAAAUGAGUAAGAUUGGGCUCCUGCCCUCCUGGGAUCACAGUCUUAUGGGCAGGAUAGGUAAAUACGCAAAUAAACCCAGAAAAGUCAUCUGCGUGAUAACAGGAGUGUAAGGCGCCCAGCCCUGUUUAGAGAUGUCGAGAUAGCUCAACGGAAAGGAUGAGUGAAGGAUGCCAAAAGCGUGGAAGAGUAUUCCAGGGGGAAGCCUAGAUCUUGCAAAAGAACUUUGCCGGAGAACGAUGGCAAGGCCGAAAGAUCUUUCAGGGAGGGAAAGGCAGAGAAGGCAGUGGCGACUCUCAGUUCUCAGUAUCCACCUGAGAUUCCAGUUUAUCGAGUCAAAGGAAUUUUUCCUUCCUCUGAAUUUUGAAAACCAUUCCGGCCCUUCUCAGACUCUCCCAACUGUUUGAAUACCACAGAUGGGGCCGCUGACACUUGUUACCAGGUCAGGCAUGGAGAGAUCUCUUGUUGUAUUUUUCACACAGACCCUUGAUGGAGCCUGAAGAGUUUAUGGAGACAGCUGUGAUUCUUACGUUCUGUGGGGUCAAGGGCUCCUUGGAGAAUGGGAAGAAAGUGAUAAAUCAUCUCCCCAGAAAAUACACAUCAUUUCCAUAAAUUUUCAGGCGUUUCUAGAAUCCUCCCCCCUGCCCAACCCACUCAUACGUUCCAGGUAAAGAACUUCCCUCCUAGCCUUGAGCCAUGGAUCAGGCGACUGGCGUGACCCAGUGUAGACGCUGAGUUUUGUGGCUAUCUGACCUGAUGUGGGCAUUCAGCUUGGACGUUCUUGAGAAAGCAACACCCCAAGAAAGACCCUGGGCUGGCAUGCAGUGUAGACAAGUGCACUUUGCUCAGACUUGCAGCCCAGUGGUCUGGGACCUGGCAAAAGCAGGGAGGCAAGUUGCCCACUCACGAGCAGUGAUCUGUGGAGGUCAGAGAUGGACUGAGGUCGGUGACAGGCAGAGGUCGGUGAUGGGCGGAGGUCAGUGAACAGCAAAUGUGUUUUGUCAGGCUCCCCAGCAAUUACACUGAAGUGUGUCCCCGUCUGGGUACUUUUUUUUGACUUGAGUUGGCAAAUUGGGUAGGAGGGAUGGUGGUGAUGCCAAGGCCAUUCUCAGACGGGAUAGAGCAAAGGCAGAUGAGCAAGGAGACCACAGGAGCUGUUGUAGCUCAGGUACCGACAGAGCUUUGAAAGGAAACAGAAUCCUUUGUCAGAGGACCUCAGCAGCCCCAUACUAGGGUGAAGCAAGAGGAGUUUUCCAUGGGUGCACGAUGUCAGGGGGGAGUGCCCAAAACUCAGUAAUUAAGAUAACUAAUAUUUUGAUGCACUUUUAAAAGGUCAAAAUUAAUGCAAACAUCCACGAUGAAAAGAAUUUCAAAAAAAAUUUUUUUAAAUUUUUUAAUGCUUAUUUAGUUUUUAGAGAGAGAGAGACAGAGCAUGAGUGCAGGUGGGGCAGAGAGAGAGAGAGAGAGAGAGAGAGAGACAUACACAGAAUCCGAAGCAGGCUCCAGGCUCUGAGCUGUCAGCACAGAGCCAGACGUGGAGCUUGAACUCACAGACCGUGAGAUCAUGACCUGAGUCGAAGUCAGACACAACCAACUGAGCCACCCAGGCGUCCCAAGGAUUUCAAAAUUUUAAAUGCAGAUGAGAUGCAACCCUUGCAUGGAUGGGAUGCCUCCUACCUCACCUUAAUCCCAGCCCUAGGCUCUGGAACCAAGAAAUGCAUGCCUCUAAAGUCCCAAACUUGUAUUCGAGUAAGACUUUGAGUUUCAUGAAGUUAGUGCCUAGACAGUGGUGAGUUGUUUCUUGUAGUUGUCUAGGAGUGGUUCCCAGACAGCGUGAACACUGGUCCGUCCCCCUGUACCUGCGAGCCCACCUUUGCCCAAGGAAUAUUGUUGGCAGUGACCCAAAUAUGCCACCAGGUGGCACUCUUGCUUUGCUCCAUCCAGGUGCCCCUGCAAUGGGGAUUCUUAGCCAAGCUAAAGAUAUUUAAACUAGUUGCUAAACUGUUGCCAGUUGUUUUCUGAAAGGCCAGAAAGAAUCCGGAGCAGGAAUGAGGGUAAGCGGAGAGGCCAUAUGAAGAGCAUUGGAGGGAUCGCCUGGAGAGCCAGGAGCCAGGUACAGCCUGAUUAGUAACAAUAGGCCGGACUGCUUUUCAGCAGGUGAGAAAAACGAGAAUUUUAAACCAUCUUUUGUUCUCUUGUGCAGUAUAAACACACGUGACAUGGGAGAGAAAAGGGGGAUUAAUGGUUUUCUGUGAAGCAAAGCCUGGUGGGAAGAGCUCUGAUGCUGGCUCCACCACCGGCUAGCUGUGAUCUUGGACAGAUAACUGGACUUUGCAAGCCUGAAAUUCUUCAUCUUUAAAUGGGGAUCACUGUAGCCGCCCCCCCACCGGGGGAUCAUUAGAAGAUCAAAUAAACUGAUGUGCAGGAGGCCUUGGACAUGGUGCCUGGUACCUAGAAAAUGUUCAACAAAAGAGAGGUGCUAUGAUGGACUUCUAGGCAAAGCCUGAACGGCUAGAUUUUGUGCCCCCCUCCCCGCCCCGGCCCCCCCCCCCUCCCUCUGGCUGUUAUUGAUUAAGAGAUGACCUCAGAGUGACCCGGAGAAAUAACUUGAUAAUGAACCAUGGCUUUAGCAGAGUCAACCAGAAGAAUUUCCCACCUGGAUUGAGUUUCACAGGUGUGAUUUUUGAACCAGGAAAUCAAGCUGGGUUCCCUGGCAAAACUGUCUCACCCUUGGCGACCGGGGAAACGUCUGACCACCAGGUGACUGGCCCCGCUUAAGCUGUGCAUUGUUGCAGAAUGGUUCCUGUUUAUCGAGGCUUACUUUGUGUCAGUCACUUCACUAAGCACUUUGCACCCACUGUUUCAUUUAUGCCUUAAUACCACCUGGAGAAGUAACUGAGUCCAUUUUACAGACAAGGAAAUGUAGGUUUAGCGAGACUUAGUACCUUAUCAAGGCUCCUUCUGACAGUAAUUGGUUUAAACUUAGAUCUAUCUGACUUCUAAAUCAAUCCAUCUAUCAUCUGUCUGGCUACCUAUCUACCAUCUGUCUAAUGGCCUCUCAUCUGUCUAUUUGAUGUGUUAAAUACAAACCACUUUGAUCUACUAAUUAAGACAAGUUCCUUCGAAACCUUGAGACUCUAGGGAAGUCUUUUUUGACCUCAGUUCAAGCUUCUCCUUUGAAAAUGUAGAGAUGUAUUCAUGGCUGGAGUUGUGCAGCUACAUCAUCCAUAACACAUACACGUGAUCUUCUGGGAAGCAUGUUGUUACUCAGAGGCCCCGUAACCUAGGUUAGGACCCACUCUUGUGUUGGCCACACUUCCGGGGGUUCUGGGAGAGAGAAUGGUGUGCUGUGUCCUCUCCCUUGGGAGGACAGACAAUGCCACUCUCGUUCUGCGUCGAGCUCCCUCUGCUGCUACGAACAAACCUAGUUGAGCAGAACGGUCUCAUUUUUCAAUGGGAAGCUGUUGGGUGAGGGAGGAAGUGUCAGAACAUCAGAUCAGCCUGACUUGGUUGCGAGAGACGGCAGAGGAGCAAAUCUGCCUUCCCAAGGGAAAAACAUCACCGGCCAUCGGUGGAGGGAAUUUGGCUUUUGGUUCCUAACUGGAGAAGACAGCUACCUGUCAAAUGGCGUGGAGUCGACUGGGGAGCCAGUGUGGCUAUGUUCCCACUUAGCGAUGUUUGGUUUUCUCUCCAGAAAUGUACUUUAUUUCCUCUAAAUUUGUACUGUAGCUCAUCUCAGAUUAAUAAAGUUUCCUCUAUUAAAGGAG